rnacentral:rRNA from 1 species
GAUGAACGCUGACAGAAUGCUUAACACAUGCAAGUCUUUGGCGAAGCUGUGCUUGCACAGCCUAGCCAAGGCGGACGGGUGAGUAACGCGUAAGGAACUUGCCCUGCAGUCAGGGAUACCAACGGAAACCACCGGUAAGAACCUGGAAAGGCCAGCCGACCUCAUUUCAGCCCGAUUGAAAAGAGAUGCUGCAGGAGAGCCUUGCGUCCUAUUAGCUUGUUGGUGGGGUAACGGCCCACCAAGGCGAUGAUAGGUAGCCGGCCUGAGAGGGUGGACGGCCACAAGGGGACUGAGAUACGGCCCUUACUCCUACGGGAGGCAGCAGUGGGGAAUAUUGGACAAUGGGGGCAACCCUGAUCCAGCAAUUCUGUGUGCACGAUGAAGGUUUUCGGAUUGUAAAGUGCUUUCAGCAGGGAAGAAAAAAAUGACGGUACCUGCAGAAGAAGCGACGGCUAAAUACGUG